rnacentral:rRNA from 1 species
AACGCGAAGAACCUUACCUACUNUUGACAUCCAGAGAAUUUAGAAGAGAAGCUUUGUUACCUUCGGGACCUCUGUACCAGGUGUUCCAGGGCUUUCGUCAGCUCGUGUUGUGAAAUGUUGGGUUAAGUCCCCGAACGAGCGCAGCCCUUAUCUUUUGUUGCCAGCGGUUCGGUGGGGAACUCAAAGGAGACUGCCAGUGAUAAACCGGAGGAAGGUGGGGAUGACGUCAAGUCAUCAUGGCCCUUACGAGUAGGGCUACACACGUGCUACAAUGGCAGGUACAAAGGGAAGCGACCUCGCGAGGGCGAGCCAAUCUCAUAAAGCCUGUCGUAGUCCGGAUUGGAGUCUGCAACUCGAGUCCAUGAAGUCGGAAUCGCUAGUAAUCGUGAUCAGA